rnacentral:rRNA from 1 species
AUCAUGAGUUCACAUGUCCGCAUGAUUAAAGGUAUUUUCCGGUAGACGAUGGGGAUGCGUUCCAUUAGAUAGUAGGCGGGGUAACGGCCCACCUAGUCAACGAUGGAUAGGGGUUCUGAGAGGAAGGUCCCCCACGUUGGAACUGAGACACGGUCCAAACUCCUACGGGAGGCAGCAGUGAGGAAUAUUGGUCAAUGGGCGAUGGCCUGAACCAGCCAAGUAGCGUGAAGGAUGACUGCCCUAUGGGUUGUAAACUUCUUUUAUAAAGGAAUAAAGUCGGGUAUGCAUACCCGUUUGCAUGUACUUUAUGAAUAAGGAUCGGCUAACUCCGUGCCAGCAGCCGCGGUAAUACGGAGGAUCCGAGCGUUCUCCGGAUUUAUUGGGUUUAAAGGGAGCGUAGAUGGAUGUUUAAGUCAGUUGUGAAAGUUUGCGGCUCAACCGUAAAAUUGCAGUUGAUAUUGGAUGUCUUGAGUGCAGUUGAGGCAGGCGGAAUUCGUGGUGUAGCGGUGAAAUGCUUAGAUAUCACGAAGAACUCCGAUUG